CCACAAUGCGCAGGCGUCAUCGCUCACUUCUCCCCUCCCGGCUUCUGCUCCACCUGACGCCUGCGCAGUAAGUAAGCCUGCCAGACACGCUGUGGCGGCUGCCUGAAGCUAGUGAGUCGCGGCGCCGCGCACUUGUGGUUGGGUCAGUGCCGCGCGCCGCUCGGUCGUUACCGCGAGGCGCUGGUGGCCUUCAGGCUGGACGGCGCGGGUCAGCCCUGGUUUGCCGGCUUCUGGGUCUUUGAACAGCCGCGAUGUCGAUCUUCACCCCCACCAACCAGAUCCGCCUAACCAAUGUGGCCGUGGUACGGAUGAAGCGCGCCAGGAAGCGCUUCGAAAUCGCCUGCUACAAAAACAAGGUCGUCGGCUGGCGGAGCGGCUUAUUUUGACUAAAGGAGAAGUUCAAGUAUCAGAUAAAGACACACACAACUGGAGCAGAUGUUUAGGGACAUUGCAAUUAUUGUGGCAGACAAAUGUGUGACUCCUGAAACAAAGAGACCAUACACCGUGAUCCUUAUUGAGAGAGCCAUGAAGGACAUCCACUAUUUGGUGAAAACCAACAGGAGUACAAAACAGCAGGUAUGUCUGAUUGACCUGGGCUGCUUCCGAGAAAUUGAUGAGCUAAUAAAAAAGGAAACCAAAGGCAAAGGUUCUUUGGAAGUACUCAAUCUGAAAGAUUUGAAGAAGGAGAUGAGAAAUUUGAAUGACACCCAUCAGUCUCUUCACCUCUAAAACACUAAAGUGUUUUCGUUUCCAACAGCACUGUUUCAUGUCUGUGGUCUGCCAAAUACUUGCUCAAACUAUUUGACAUUUUCUAUCUUUGUGUUAACAGUGGACACAGCAAGGCUUUCCUACAUAAGUAUAAUAAUGUGGGAAUGAUUUGGUUUUAAUUAUAAACUGGGGUCUAAAUCCUAAAGCAAAAUUGAAACUCCAGGAUGCAAAAUCCAGAGUGGCAUUUUGCUACUCUGUCUCAUGCCUUGAUAGCUUUCCAAAAUGAAAGUUACUUGAGGCAGCUCUUGUGGGUGAAAAGUUUUUUGUACAGUAGAGUAAGAUUAUUAGGGGUAUGUCUAUACGACAAAAGGGGGGUCUUUCCUAAAAAAGAAAACAUGAUGCUUCAUUUCUACUUAAUGGAACUUGUGUUCUGAGGGUCAUUAUGGUAUCGUAAUAUAAAGCUUGGAUGAUGUUCCUGAUUAUCUGAGAAACAGAUAUAGAAAAAUUGUGUCGGACUUAAAUAAUUUUCGUUGAACAUGCUGC
rnacentral:lncRNA from 1 species